rnacentral:miRNA from 1 species
GCGGAGGCGCGUGCCGGCCGCGGGGCUGCGGGAGGACCCGGGUGGGGAGCUCCUGGAGGGAGGCCGCCACCUGCGGGUCCCUCGGCCUCG